rnacentral:rRNA from 1 species
GACGAACGCUGGCGGCGUGCUUAACACAUGCAAGUCGAACGGCAGGGCACUGCUUUCGUGCGGUUCUGGAUUGGCGAACGGGUGCGUAAGACGUGUGCAACCUGCUCUUGAUUUUGGUGUGACUUCAGGAAACUGGGCUUAAUCCCAUACCGGAUACCCUCUUGCGUGGUGGGCGUUGGAACUUUUGGGCUGUUGGGGUUGGAUGCGCGGCUUAUCGACUUGUUGGUUGGGUAGUGGCUUGCCAACGCUUUGACGGGUCCCCGGCCUGGGAGGGUGGCCGGCCACAUUGGGACUGCGAUACGGACCAGACUCCUACGGGAGGCAGCAGUGGGAAACAUUGCACAAUGGGCGGAAGCCUGAGGCAGAGACGCCGCGUGCGGGAUGACGGCCUUCGGGUUGUAAACCGCUUUCGCCUGUGACGAAGCGUGAGUGACGGUACUGGGUAAAGAAGCACCGGCUAACUACGUG